UCCGCAGGCGGAAUAUUAAGUCAGUGGUGAAAGCCUACAGCUCAACUGUAGAACUGCCAUUGAAACUGUUAUUCUUGAGUAUGGAUGAAGUGGGCGGAAUAUGUCAUGUAGCGGUGAAAUGCAUAGAUAUGACAUGGAACACCAAUUGCGAAGGCAGCUCACUAAACCAUUACUGACGCUCAUGGACGAAAGCGUGGGGAGCGAACAGGAUUAGAUACCCUGGUAGUCCACGCCGUAAACGAUGAUCACUAGAUGUUGGCGAUAUAAUGUCAGCGUUCAAGAGAAAUCGAUAAGAGAUCCACCUGGGGAGUACGUUCGCAAGAAUGAAACUCAAAGGAAUUGACGGGGGCCCGCACAAGCGGAGGAGCAUGUGGUUUAAUUCGAUGA
rnacentral:rRNA from 1 species